AUUGAACGCUGGCGGCAGGCCUAACACAUGCAAGUCGAGCGGAUGAAGGGAGCUUGCUCCUGGAUUCAGCGGCGGACGGGUGAGUAAUGCCUAGGAAUCUGCCUGGUAGUGGGGGAUAACGUCCGGAAACGGGCGCUAAUACCGCAUACGUCCUGAGGGAGAAAGUGGGGGAUCUUCGGACCUCACGCUAUCAGAUGAGCCUAGGUCGGAUUAGCUAGUUGGUGGGGUAAAGGCCUACCAAGGCGACGAUCCGUAACUGGUCUGAGAGGAUGAUCAGUCACACUGGAACUGAGACACGGUCCAGACUCCUACGGGAGGCAGCAGUGGGGAAUAUUGGACAAUGGGCGAAAGCCUGAUCCAGCCAUGCCGCGUGUGUGAAGAAGGUCUUCGGAUUGUAAAGCACUUCAAGUUGGGAGGAAGGGCAGUAAGUUAAUACCUUGCUGUUCUGACGUUACCAACAGAAUAAGCACCGGCUAACUUCGUG
rnacentral:rRNA from 1 species